AAAACAUUCAAACACUAGCAAGCACUCAUUCAGGAACGAACCAGGCUCUUCUUAGCGCCACCUGCUGAUCUGGAGUUUGGCAAACAAACAUAAAUGGCCAUUUGGUUCAUCAUCUUGGUCAUCCUCCUGCUCACAUGGAAUGCAUGAACUUAGGCAUCUUGAACCAAGGAUCGCCGCUUCACCCACUUAUGUUAUGUUCUCCAUGGCAUUCGCUCUGUAUAAGGAGACUUCAAGGAGUCGAGACUCAAGGACUCUUGUCGAGAGAUUUUGUACAAUUAAUACUUUUUUAAUCUUACUCAAUCAGUUUUCCUACACAGAAGCUCGAACAGACACUCGAUCUUAUCUUCUUGUCAGGCUUGUUUUGUUUGUAUCGUCGAUCAAAGUAACUGAGUGGUUAGACUUACUGUAUCAGCAUCACAUCCCCUAUGGAGUGCCACAAGGUUCAAUUCUGGGCCAGUUUUAUAUUCUUUAUACUGGCUCCCACUUUGCUCCAGGUUUAAACACUGUAAAACCUGUAUAACUCCACUGUUUACCAUUUGAAUACACUGUACUGUUAUAAAAUGAAAUUUUUUUUUGAUUUGCUUUUAAAGCUUUUUUCCACAGACUUGCCCAAUAUACAUUUCAGAUCUCUUCCACCUUUGUUUUUCGCAUGUUACUAACCAGUCCCCAGUCACAGCUUAUUACAGUUCAACUUAUAUUUUUAGCAGUAAUUUGUUUGCAUGUUUAUUUACAUAUAAUUACCUGUUACCAUCAUUAUGUAUUUUUCCCAUUAUGGCUGAUGUGCAGCACUUUGAUCAGCACCUGUGCAGUUUUUGAUUUGCAUAUAAAUAAUUUUGCCCUCGACCUUGAAUGUAUCAAAAAACACAAUCACAAUCAUACUACUGUUCUAAUCUCUUCUCUUUUGUUUUGUCUCUUGAACGUUUGUUGCUGAAUAAAUUCUGUUUCUGUGA